CAAAAGCCAAAGGAAAAAGUGAUUCUGAAGAUGGGGAGAAGGAAAAUGAAAAAUCUAAAACUUCAGAUUCUUCAAAUGACGAAUCUAGUUCAAUAGAAGACAGUUCUUCCGAUUCUGAAUCAGAGUCAGAACCUGAAAGUGAAUCUGAAUCCAGAAGAGUCACUAAGGAGAAAGAAAAGAAAACAAAGCAAGAUAGAACUCCUCUUACCAAAGAUGUUUCACUUCUAGAUCUGGAUGAUUUUAACCCAGUAUCCACUCCAGUUGCACUUCCCACACCAGCUCUUUCUCCAAGUUUGAUGGCUGAUCUUGAAGGUUUACACUUGUCAACUUCCUCUUCAGUCAUCAGUGAAAGAAAAGCACUCCAUCUAAAGUUGGGCAAAAAAUGACCGCCAGUUGACACGGCUGAGUGAAGCAGGACCACAACACUCACUCCCCAAAAGCUAACAAAAUGAUCAAACAAGUAGCGCUAAAAAGAAUGACAACCAGAAGUUCACCAGCAACAAUAAAAUAUGGACAGGA
rnacentral:lncRNA from 1 species